rnacentral:sRNA from 2 species
UGUAUCCGACCCGACUGCUUGCCCUGUAUCCGGCCACGGCACAAACCCGAUUGCCGCCGGUUCCGGCGACGU